UACGUAGGGUGCAAGCGUUAAUCGGAAUUACUGGGCGUAAAGCGUGCGCAGGCGGUGAUGUAAGACAGAUGUGAAAUCCCCGGGCUCAACCUGGGAACUGCAUUGUGACUGCAUCGCUGGAGUACGGCAGAGGGGGAUGGAAUUCCGCGUGUAGCAGUGAAAUGCGUAGAUAUGCGGAGGAACACCGAUGGCGAAGGCAAUCCCCUGGGCCUGUACUGACGCUCAUGCACGAAAGCGUGGGGAGCAAACAGG
rnacentral:rRNA from 1 species